GUUAGGAAUAUUGGGCAAUGGAGGAAACUCUGACCCAGCAACGCCGCGUGAAGGAAGAAGGUUUUCGGACUGUAAACUUCUGAUCUAGGGGAAAAAGAAAGUGAUGGUACCCUAGGAGAAAGCCACGGCUAACUACGUGCCAGCAGCCGCGGUAAUACGUAGGUGGCGAGCGUUGUCCGGAAUGACUGGGCGUAAAGGGAGCGUAGGUGGCUGAUUAAGUUAGAUGUGAAAGCCCAUGGCUCAACCAUGGAACUGCAUUUAAAACUGGUUAGCUAGAGUACAGGAGGGGUAAGCGGAAUUUCUAGUGUAGCGGUGGAAUGCUUAGAUAUUAGGAAGAACACCAGAGGCGAAGGCGGCUUACUGGACUGCAACUGACACUGAGGCUCGAAAGCGUGGGGAGCAAACAGGA
rnacentral:rRNA from 1 species